CCUGCCGAGCUUCGCCUGAGCUCCCGCCGAACUCUCCCCGGAUCUGCUGCCGACCGGAUCUCCUGCCGAACUCCUCCCCAGCUCCAUAGCAAGAAUCAAAAGAUAGUCAACUCUGCAACUGUGUACUUUGAAGAAGAGAAAGGAGUGCUCAGUGAAUGAGAGAUAGAAGAAGAUAAAAUAUUGGUUUUGUUUUAAAGCAAGAAGACAAGGCCGUAAACUUAAUUACAACUUUUUAAAGAAGAUUGAGAAGACAGGCAAGCUAAAUUUGUGCCAUACCUGGGUCUGCUGCAGUGAAAG